rnacentral:lncRNA from 1 species
AUAUAUGCUUUAUAGAAAAAAAUAAUUAAAAACAUACUACAAUAUGUUGUGAUGCUCACAGACCUAGAUUAAAUGCUACAUAUAUUUUUCUUAUUAAAAAGAUUAAUAAAAAUCUUUUGCGAAAUUACACUGAUGUAACAAGAAUGACAAGAAAUAGAGGUAUUAAAUUCCAAAGAGCAUGUUAUCAAGGGAAAUAUUUUUCGUAAAAUAGAUAGCAUAUAAUAUAAUUUUAUUUUAAUCAAACAUAUAUUGCCAUGACAUAUGCAUGGCACAAAUAAAAAUACCACAAAAAGUAAAAUAAAAAUAUAUAUAACCUUGGACAAGCUAGCUAAGACAUGACUAGUAAUAUCCAAAGUUAUUUAGCUAAAAUUAUUAUUAUAAUAAUAAUACUUUAAUUCUCACACACAAUUAUAUUUUGGUAUAUAUAAGCCAUAGCCAUGGCCACAUUAAACUCUCAUCACGGAACAUUAGGGGAAAUAGCCACGCUUUGAGCUUUAGAACCAUCACUCUCUGUCACGGCGGUUUGGUGAUUAUAAAUACACGUAUUAUAGUACGCAGGGCAGGGAGAGAUAAAAAGCCAACAAAGCUUAUACAAAAUCACACAAGUUAAAAUAUCCGGCGGCGGCGGCGGCGGAAACGGAAACUGUCCAUAAAAUUGAGGAUUGGAAUUAACACCACCAUCCUUCAUGGCGGCGGUUUCAGCAUCCCUUCUAGCAGCUUCAAUAUGACCAUUCAUAAUUGCGGCAAUAAGGAGAAUUAAAAUAAAGGAACUUGUGAUGCUUUUUGCCAUAGUGUAGUAUAUGAGUUAUUUUUCACUAGUUUUUGUAUGGAAUAAUUUGGCACCAAAAUCACUUUAAUUUAUAGUGCUAGAGGUGAGUGUGAUGAGAACUAUUAAUUUUCUCAAAUGGUAAGUGAAUUAAUUUUGCAUUUGCG